rnacentral:lncRNA from 1 species
GAUAAGACGAGAGACGAUAGGACGAAAGAAAAGAUGAAGAAGAAACAAGACGAAAAGACGCAAGACGAUAAAACGGGAGACGACAGGACGAAGGAAAAGACGAAGAGAUGAAAGGACGAAAAGACCAAAACGGAGAGGACACGACGACGAGAAGGAGGAAAGAAGAAGGAAGACGACAUUCAAAUCUCGAAGACGUUAAGAAUUCGAAAGGCAUCGAGUGUACAACUACAAGGUGACGCAGCGACACCAGAAAUACAUUGACAAGACUGUGAAUGCGUCAGUAACACCAACAUCGAGAGGGCAGUGAUAAUACGCGGGUAAGCGCGCGACAGUAGCGCUGGUAACGACAUCGAAAGUGUGGUGGCAGGAUUGCACGACGUAAAUGAACGUGAGACGGUAGUCUUGAGUGUACGCGAACAAGACGGUACAAUAACAGUGAGCGCGCGACGGUAAACAUUUAUCACAUUGCGUAAAAUGUGCAGAGACAAGAUAAAUAAUCUCGCGCAAAUUGAACCAAUCAAGCAAAAGAUACGUGUGUGAAGAAGGUGAUCGAAAAAAUAGACAAAGACUUUGAGGGUUUUACUUUCAAGAAAGACACAACGGGAUACGUGAAUAAAAUAGAAGCGGCGCGAAAACUUUCGAUCGGUGACUUGAUAUCCUACUGUAAUAUUCUUGGUUUAGAGUACGGCGGAAACAGAGAAGAGAUAAUAACGCAUAGUACAUGGUUUAAUGGAUUUAAAUACUCUCACGCCUAAAGAUAGUGAAUAAAACGAUGAAUUAGACGAAGAUGCGAGCGACGAGGGAACAGUUGACGAGUAAGACGACGAAAGAGAGGAAGAAAGAAGCAACAAAGCAAGUGAAAAUAAUCUCGAAGAGAACCACUCUACCAGAGGCAGUCAAGUGAACACGAAAUUCUCCAUGACAUAUCGAGACGUACAAGAUUCAAUUAAAACUUUCACUGGAAAAGAUACAUAUCCGGUUGAAAGAUGGAUAGCUGAAUUUGAAGAUGCGGCUAAUCUGUUCGAAUGGUCGGAAUUACAGAAGUUAGUGUUCGCAAAGAAAUCACUAGCCGGAUCUGUUAAAAUGCUCAUCGACAGCGAAGGCGUUAUCGUGAAAGAAAUUAAAAGAAAUUCUACUAAAGAGAUGAAUUUAUAGACAAAAUAAACAGUGCCCAAAUACACGAUAUGUUGGUCAGAAGAAGACUGAAGAGGGACGAAACUUUGCAGGAAUAUUAUGUGAUGAAAGAAAUAGCUGCCAGAGGCAAAAUAGAAGCAGAAACACUCAUGAAAUACGUGAUUGACGGAAUCCCGGAAGACGCACAGAGCAAGAUCCUAUUGUACGGAGUUAAAAAAUUGACAGAAGGAGAAGCUUAAAGUAUACGAAGCAAUUCGGAAGAAGAAUACUAAGAGGAUGAGAACGAGAGAGAAGAACAAUAUGCCGAAGAAGACAGAGGAAGUGAGGAAACCAACAACACCAAAAAAUGGCGAAAAAGAACAAGAAACAGACGUGCGGUGCUACAAUUGCGGCGGUAAAGGACACAAAGCUAAA